rnacentral:rRNA from 1 species
CCCUUAGAUGUUCUGGGCCGCACGCGCGCUACACUGACUGGUGCAACAAGUGUCUGACCUUGGCUCGAGAGGCCUGGGCAACCUUUGAACGCCAGUCGUGCUGGGGAUAGAUUCUUGCAAUUAUUAAUCUUCAACGAGGAAUUCCUAGUAAACGCAAGUCAUCAACUUGCAUUGAUUACGUCCCUGCCCUUUGUACACACCGCCCGUCGCACCUACCGAUUGAAUGGUCCGGUGAAGCCUCCGGAUUGGCGCGCACCUCGGUGCCGCCGAGAAGUUGGCUAAACCUUACCAUUUAGAGGAAGGUGAANUCGUANCA